GAUUAUAUGAAAAGCAUAUGUGAUGAGCAAACAACGUUUGUGGGUUUACAGGAAGCUUUGUGAAGAAAUAAUAUUAGAAACACUGUAAAAAAGGGAACAAGGGAGUAAGUUUAUUUAAAACAAAAGGCAAUGUUAAAUUUAGAAUUGCGGAUAGAAGAUUUGAUAACGGAAGAUUUGCGGAUGAGUCGAAGGAAGUCAAAAUUUGUAUUUGUGAUAAUAUUGAAAAUGUAUGUUUAAAUUUUAUAUUGGAAAUUGAAUAAAAA